GGUCGGUCCGGUGAUAGAGUCGCUGAUGUGCACAGAGCUGCUCAAAGCGAUAUUAAAAAUAAGAGAUCCGUGAAUGUGAAAGUCAUUUCAUUUGUUUACCCGUCGGGAGUGUUUCACAGCAGAAGUGUGACUUACAGCGCGAUAUUUCGAUGUGACUGAUGCCAUUCUGUCUGCUAAAGGCUAUAGAGACGAUGCAAGGAUCGAAACAAAUGAACGAUUUUAACAGGUUUGACUUGUAAAAACAAUAUACGGUCUCAUAGAGUGAAAAACGAUACACGUUACGCUGUUUUGAUAAAGUCUGUGUAAAAUAUCCGCUGUGCUUGCUGCAGAUAUCCGCUUAGCAUUAGCAUUAGCCGCAGAUGUGCAGUCAGUGCUCACGUGACUCUAUCUUCAUAAACACAGUGAUGCUCAAACACUCACCCCGCAGCACAUAGAUCCACGCGAUAUACACAAACACACACACACCUGACAGCCGAUAUCAUGGCCAACGUGACGGAUCUGCAGAGUAAAUACAGUAAACUGGCCCAGGAGUACUCAAAGCUCAGAGCUCAGAAUCAGGUGCUGAAGAAGGCCGUGGUGGACGAGCAGACCGCCUCCUGCUCCCUGAAGGAUGAGCUGAAGCAGAAGGAGCAG